AAUGGGCGCAAGCCUGAUCCAGCCAUGCCGCGUGGGUGAAGAAGGCCUUCGGGUUGUAAAGCCCUUUCAGNUGGGAAGGAAGGGCAGUCGAUUAAUACUCGGUUGUUNUGACGUUACCCACAGAAUAAGCACCGGCUAACUUCGUGCCAGCAGCCGCGGUAAUACGAAGGGUGCAAGCGUUACUCGGAAUUACUGGGCGUAAAGCGUGCGUAGGUGGUUGUUUAAGUCNGAUGUGAAAUCCCCGGGCUCAACCUGGGAACUGCAUUCGAAACUGGCGAGCUAGAGUGUGGUAGAGGGUGGUGGAAUUCCCGGUGUAGCGGUGAAAUGCGUAGAGAUCGGGAGGAACACCCGUGGCGAAGGC
rnacentral:rRNA from 1 species